UACAGAGGUCCCAAGCGUUGUUCGGAUUCACUGGGCGUAAAGGGUGCGUAGGUGGCCAGGUAAGUUCGGUGUGAAAGCUCGGAGCUUAACUCCGAAAUGUCAUUGAAUACUAUCUGGCUGGAGGGUCGGAGGGGAGACUGGAAUUCUCGGUGUAGCAGUGAAAUGCGUAGAUAUCGAGAGGAGCACCAGUGGCGAAGGCGAGUCUCUGGACGACUCCUGACACUGAGGCACGAAAGCCAGGGGAGCAAACAGG
rnacentral:rRNA from 1 species